rnacentral:sRNA from 1 species
UUUCGAAAUAGCCCGUAGAAACAGCAAAUCAUGAAAAGUAUUUAUCUGCUGCUUGCUGUCCUACUUUUAAAACGAGGCUCUGCACAGACCACAGAAGCUCCACCCUUGCCAGACGUGGAAGAUGUUCUGGCUGCUGACUCUCGCUUCACAACUUUCUACCAGCUACUGAAGACCACAGACCUGCUGGAAGAGAUCAAUGAAA